rnacentral:lncRNA from 1 species
GAGUUCCCCGGAGCAAGGCUGCUUCUCUCCACCCACUCCUCACCAAGAACUCCUGAACUUGAGAGUGGACGACUUCAAAGCUAGCUCUCACAGACUCACCUGGAAAAGAGUUCAGCUGCGCGUUCAUUGAACCGAGAGGCCAGAUCACCUAUGUGAGGCGGUGGGAACCAUAUGGAGAUUUAUAUUAGAACUUCAGCAAAGUGCACAGCUGCAGCCGGCAGAAGCCAGCUCUCGGGCUGACAGGCAAAUGAACCAGAUCGUGGACGGGGCCUCUGGGUGGCAGCUCCGGCCUUUUGGUUGUUGGACAACUAUAGUCAGAACUGAAAUGGAACAGGGGCAGGAGAAAUAACACACUUUUACUCCACGCAACUGUUGCUUUCACAUGGUGAGUGCAGAUUUAAGAUGUUGCUCAAAUAUUCUUUCUGGGUUGUAAUACAAGUUAAGAAAUCUGCUCUGCUUUUUGGGGGGUGGGGGGAGAAACAAGCCAUCAAGAAUACUUAGAAAUUCCGAAGCUCUGUGGCUUUGUCUCUGCUUCAUUUCACGUGAUACUUGCAAUCUGAGAGAAAAAAAAAAAACUCGUAGCGUCCAGUCUGUUCUUUCUCUUCCAGAUUUUCUUUUGUUUAAGUCCUGCUUUUCUGCAACCAGAGUCAAUAUUGAUUUAGGCAAAUCAAAUGUGGCUGGGAUGAGGAAGAAGGGGGAGUCAGGAUAUGUGUAAACAUUGCAUUUAGUCCAACUUCUGUGUCACUGGGCGCUGGCUUCAUGAUUUGGUGCCUUAUCUCAGGAAUAAGUCCUAUGGAAAGAGCUUUGCAUUCCUGGCCAGGAGAAGGGUCAGGGCCCGUGUUUAGCAGCCAGCCAGCCAGCCAGUGAGAAUUGCUGUUGCUCCCUCUUAUUUUUAAUAUAAAAUAGUUAAGAAAGUACAUCUUCAUGCAUUGAAAACUAAGUGUGCUUUGAUUUCCCAAGUCCCUUCCCAGUGGUUUAUGUGUCUUAUCCCUGGGAAGGAUUCUUUAAAAGUCCUUGAGCAACAGCGUGCAAACUUCUUUUGUUCCUGCUGAUCCUGUUUGCUCACGUUGUGUGCUAUCGACUUUGCACACAUUUCUUUUUGAAGAAUCAUGUUGCAGUAAUGCAGAGCAGUUUUUGUUUGUUUGUUUGUUUGUUUGUUUCAGUGCAAAUACCUUAGAAGUUAGUAAGGUCAUGUUUUCUAAAAUAAAACCAACCAAGCUCAACGAAAAACCUUACAGUAUAAGUUGAGAAUAAUUCCUUGUUUAAACGUAACUAAGUCCUGUUUUAACUAUGUUUUGUUGUUGUUCAAAGAAAAUCUUAGCUUGCCAGCAUGUCCAGGAAUGUGAGCCGAGGCGACCUAUUUUUCUUAUUCCAACCUCUCAUGUUCAUAAUCACAUUUAUAGUAAGUGCUAAAAUAUACUUUCUGAUGUUCACCUCAUUAGAAAAAUCAGUUUUUGCUACCAUAAUAUUUGCAAUUGAUGUUAUCAAAAAAUAUGGAGGAUCUUUAUGGUCCAUUUGUUGAUUUGAUGAAGUUUUAGGUCUACUUCAGCAUCGUUUAAACAUUUUCCAAAGCAGAGAGACAAUUCAGUUUUGUCUACUUGUUUAAAGCACAGAACUUACAUGGGGGACAGACUCCUUUUAUCUGGAAUCUUCUGUUUGUUAAAGUAAAUUAAUAAACCAAACAAAAAACCAAACAAAAGGCAGCCAGUGAGAAGCUGCAGAUUUGUAGUGAAAGGGAAGGGGACUUUAAGGGUGUCGGAAUGUGAUUCCAUUUCCGAGGUAAUUUUGUAGCAUUUCUUAGCUGCCUUUGCAAACUUUAUGGAAACCUGUUAACCGCUGGCAGCCCUGAGCCCUAGGUUUGCAUUUUGAACGGAGAUUAUGCACAGGAAAGACAAGUUCGUCCUGUCAUGUGACCUGAGCUGCCUUAUCAAAGCAAAAUAUGGCAGCCGCAUUCUUUCCUGAGAGAACGAAGUUCAUUAUGUCCUUGCCACCUGUUACGUUCACUCUUUGUCCUUGUGGCCACACAGUUCCUGCUUGUUCCUGCUGCCAGAAAGGGAUUUUCCUUUUAAGAGAGAAAACCAAUGAUUUUUUUUUUUCAUUUACAUGUUUUGAAAAAUUGUGUUCUUUCCCCACAAAGCACCCGGAAUAUAUUUCAUAAGGCCUUUUGUUAAGUUGAUGUGAAUAGCAAGAAAAUGUGUGUAUUGUUUUGAAAGCCUUGUACGUCUCCUGAUAAAUAAAGCAAAGGUGUAGCUAAGGAUUUAUGAAAAAGAUGGACCUUCUGAAGAUUAUGAUUGAGGAAAAAAAUGCAUUCCUUAUUAUUUCCUCCAAACCAAUUAAAAAACUAGAAGUACAAAAGGCAACUUCAUUAUUACUAUUUUUUUCAAGCACAGCUCAGAAAGUCAGCAUGGUAGAGAGAGGGCCUCCAAAAGAAUGUGGUUCCCUCUGGAAGUGGGUGAAUUGCAAGGAACAAAAGAUAGAAAGUGCUGCAUAGCAUUUAAAUGUUUAAACUUAAAUGUUGAUCUGUUAUCAUAGCUGGUCAUACUUACUUACUAGUGGACUGUAGAGAACUUUUAAAAAUUAAAAUCAACUCUAGUAUUUUAAUUCUAUGUAUUUAAGAAGGUGCAUAUCUUUUUAAAAAGAAAGUGCUAAUCUUCCCUUGAGCUCAGUUUUUUUUCCUCCAGCUAAGAGGAAACGGUUAUAUGUUAACAGCUAAUAUGUUACAGCCAUAUUUCUUAUUUAUAUGAAGAGUGCAUGCAUGCGUAUUCUCUACAAGCAUAUAUUCAUGUUUUAUGUACAUGCUUUUUAACAUCUUACAGCCAGCUCCUCCCUUCUCCGGAUGCCAUAAUUCAUUUUAUUCUUGGACAGAAGAGAAUUGUACAAGAAUCCAACAAAUAUAUACAGAAAAA